rnacentral:rRNA from 1 species
AAUACGGAGGGUGCGAGCGUUAAUCGGAAUUACUGGGCGUAAAGCGCAUGCAGGUGGUUUGUUAAGUCUAGAUGUGAAAGACCCGGGGCUCAACCUCGGAAUAGCAUUUGAAACUGGCAGACUAGAGUACUGUAGAGGGGGGUAGAAGUUUCAGGUGUAGCGGUGAAAUGCGUAGAGAUCUGAAGGAAUACCGGUGGCGAAGGCGGCCCCCUGGACAGAUACUGACACUCAGAUGCGAAAAGCGUGGGGAGCAAACAGGAUUAGAUACCCCCGGUAG